UCUCUCCUGCCAAACAUUUUUUUUUAAGAGAAGAUUGUUACAUUAGGAUACUUUCCCAAGUAUAACACAGCCACCCAUAUAUUUUUACAUGAUAGUUUGCUGGAUCCUUACUGAAGGAAGUAGGGGAUGGGGUGGCUAUUUCUUUUAUUACUAAGAUUCUUGGAGUUAAAAUGUGUACAUGUUCAUUUUUGCAACUUUUGCAAUUUUGUUCCUGUGUUUUAAGCUUGCAUGUUUUGAAAUUUACCCAUGGUUUCCAAGUACCAAGACCUCUGCAUUUAUAAAGUGAAAGGUAAACAUUUGCUAUAAAGAGACUGUUACAGUGUCCUCAAGUAGUUCUUCUACUCUUAAUCUUCUCUAUGAUGUAGAAUAAAGAGUUUUUCUGUAGUGAGACUUGGACCAUAAACUUGCAAAAUAGGAGAAAAACCUGUAGUUUAAUAAUGGCAUCACUUGAUGUUUCAUGGGAAGAAUUGGAACAAGUGGUAAAGGAAGGUUUAAUAUGCCAUAAUAAAAAUAUAAAUUUGAUUUACUAAAAUGCUUGAUGUUUGAACAGGGUAUUUAAAGGAUCCCCGAUACCAGGAAGUUGAUAGUUUCACAAAUCUUAUUCCCAACAGACGAUUUUCAGGAGUUCGCCGAGAUGUGUUUUUAAAUGGGUCCUACAAUGAUUAUGUGAGGGAAUUUCAUAACAUGGGACCACCACCUCCUUGGCAAGGAAUGGUUUGUAUUAUUCUAUUUUUAUAAUUAACUUCAUUUUACAGCUCCUACUUUUUAAAAUGAGUACUUGGAAUAUGAUGGAUACAGUCAUCCAUUAAGAGACAUAAAA